GUUUGGUUUUAGAUGAUGUGGCCUGAGACAAACAGAAAAACUGGAUUCAUUUUCUACCAACUCGUAGUUUAGAACACAGAAAAUAUGAAAAAAAAAAAAUUGAGGCAAAAGAAAAAAAGACAUCACAGAGAAAAGGUCAUGUAGAGCUCACAAGGGCAAAUCUUAUGGUCUUAUGGCUAAAAUAAGAAAGAUUAUUAGCUAGUGGACACAGCCAAUUACAUAGAUCAGAUAUCAUUAAAUGUUUUAAUAGGCAAUCCCCGUUACCAUUCUUUGAUGAAAAUACAUUUCUGUGUUAAGAUAAUUCUAGCUUCAAUAAUUCCCUUUGAAUGACUACAUACUUGUUGUGAAUCGGUUCCCUGAGAAACCCAUUUUUGGAGUGUUGGGUAUAAUCUUGGGAUUUUUGGGAAAACAUCGAGUCAGAGUACGCAUAAUGUCUAAAAACUGAAGAGAAAUGGUAUAAUAGAAAAUUCACUAAAACUUAUAGUUACACGAAUUGACUAGUGUGACUUUUUAUAUGUUUGCAAAGCCUUUAAUACACUAAUUCAUAAACAUAUCUUUCUUUACUCCCUCCCUUCAAGCUUUUCCUUUGAUUCGCUUUAGCUUGUAGCCAGGUAGCCAUGUUGGAUUCCAGUUCAUCUCAAGUGUUUCUUCAUUCAGUGUUUGCCCUAAAGUUGUGCAAACUUGAGCCAAAGAGAAUGGUAUGCAAAGGAAGAAGAACCAAAAUUUGGCUGAAGCUAGUCAUUUCACUUAUCAUAUUCGUCCUGGUCUUAUAGACGCCAAAAAAGACAACCCUAACAGCAUGACCCAUUUGACCAUUUAUAAUACAGCUUGUGUCAUACCUGAUCCUUAUCAACACUUUUAAUACUUAACAGCAAAAUUUUUGUGGCAUGCUGAAAGUUGUUUGAAGUAGAAAUUACCUAGAUACAAAAACAUUUCAGUUCAUCUAUAAUGAUAACCUCUUAUGUUGCAGACCAUGCAAAAGAACAGAAUAGUUUACCUAAGCAACUAAAUUUAGGCAUGGGUGCGGUUCGGUUUUAGGCCAGAACUGAACCGGCAGUUCCGGCAUAAAGGGCCGGGGACCCAAGACCAGAGCAAAGGGUUCCCCUCGGUUGCAAUUCAGUUCAAUACAGUUCAUCCGGUUCAAUCAAAUCUGACAGUCAAAAAAAAAAAUUCUUUUUAAGUGACAAAUCUGGUUUUGAUCUGAAACUGGACCAAACCAGUCAGAAUUGGUCCAGGCCAAUUUCGGCCCAGUUCAAGAUGGUUCUGCUCAAAUCCAAGUUAUGACCAGUUCCGGUCCAAACCCGGACAGUGCCCAUGUCUAACUAGAUUAGCAUAUGGCUGCAUUUGCUGACAGAAGUGCAUAUAUGUAAAGCCUUUAAAAAUAAGCUGUAGCAAAACCAAGCAAUUGAAAGAUAGCUAAUGUACCUUGUUUCCAUUGGAACCUGGUG
rnacentral:misc_RNA from 1 species